UCAGAGUCACUGGGAAAGCAGCCCACAACCUGGAGAGAGAGGUCAAGGACCUGCUGGCUAUAGAUGUGAUCCAGCCAUUUUACAGCCCAUGGGCCUCACCCAUGGGGCUGGUCCCCCAGGAAGAUGGGAUGAUCUGGUUUAGUGGGGACCUUCGGAAGCUUAAAGCCAUCACGGUGUCCGAUGCCUACCCCAUGCCUACGCCUGGAGAGAUUCUAGACAAGCUGAGGGGGAUGGAGAACUUGGCCCUGGCGUACACUGAUAACAUGUGCAUCUUUAGCCAAACCUGGGAGGAACAGGUGUCCCAGGUGAAGAGGGUGCUGGGCUGCCUCAAGGAGGUGGGACUGAUGGUAAAAGCUGGAAAGUGCAAGGGGGGAC